GAUGAACGCUGGCGGCGUGCCUAAUACAUGCAAGUCGAGCGAACAGACGAGGAGCUUGCUCCUCUGACGUUAGCGGCGGACGGGUGAGUAACACGUGGAUAACCUACCUAUAAGACUGGGAUAACUUCGGGAAACCGGAGCUAAUACCGGAUAAUAUAUUGAACCACAUGGUUCAAUAGUGAAAGACGGUUUUGCUGUCACUUAUAGAUGGAUCCGCGCCGCAUUAGCUAGUUGGUAAGGUAACGGCUUACCAAGGCAACGAUGCGUAGCCGACCUGAGAGGGUGAUCGGCCACACUGGAACUGAGACACGGUCCAGACUCCUACGGGAGGCAGCAGUAGGGAAUCUUACGCAAUGGGCGAAAGCAUGACGGAGCAACGCCGCGUGAGUGAUGAAGGUCUUCGGAUCGUAAAACUCUGUUAUUAGGGAAGAACAAAUGUGUAAGUAACUAUGCACGUCUUGACGGUACCUAAUCAGAAAGCCACGGCUAACUACGUG
rnacentral:rRNA from 1 species